GGGAUCGGAGAAAGCGGGUGCUUCAGAUGAGUUUUCAUCAGGCCUGGACCUAAAAAUUAGGGUCAGAUGAAGCAGUCACUAGCUUAAAUAGUCCAGAUGGACAGCAGUUAAGGAUUAGGAAAGUAGAUACCAAAUUGUGAUCAAGGGUCAGUCUGUGUCUUCAAAGGUUCCUGCUGUAUUUGCUAAAAAAAUACAGUUUAAAUCCCAGAUUCCAUCCCUUCCUGUCGGCCUUCCAUCCCAGGAGCACACUGGCCUUCAUGCCAUCCGGGAGGUUUGAGAAACAAUAUUUUAACCUACAUGCAAAACUAAAUGGACAACUUGGAAAAGUAAGAACUUGCUUCAGUGUUUAUGUGCUCAAUUCUUCAGGGUUACCAGGAGGAUAGGGACUGGUCCGCUUCCUCUCUUGCCCCUGCCUGCUGCUGCUCAUGCCUGAAGCUGAAGGAGAUACACAGGGUGGUGGCGCCCCAUCUGCCGUCUCCCCGCCCCCACCACCAGCCUAUUAUUCAUCAUUUAUUCUGGAAACUUCUCCCCGGGGCGCGCGGGAGCCAGGCCCGCGAGGGUGAGGUGCAGGCCGCGCAAGGGUGACUUCCCCACGGACGCUUUCUUCAAAGAACUGGGCCUACAGGCCAGACGUCGAGGCACAACAUGCUGAGGCCGAGGACGAAGGCGUCCGGGGAAGAUCUGUACUCGUCCCAGCGGGGGCCCCGGGAAGCCUUCCCCGAAGACGCAGGGGUAAGUGGGAGUCAUCAGUGGGCUUGUCGGGAGGGUGAGGCAUUCCAUCCCGAAGGUAAGUGAGCAGACAGAAGGCGGGAACGGCAAGCUGAGGGCUGUAUGACUCCUGUGCCCAGACUGGCGGGUCACAAAAGCGGGGGACGGCCAUGGAAAUUGCUUCCUGCAGCGUUCCCUACUGAUCCAACUUCAUCUUAGAACUGGUUGUAAAGAGGAGGCCGGGCUAGUCCCCAGGCUGGGCGUGUUCCACUCCUCACUCUCUGAAGUCCUCGUAUAGCAUUGAAGGGGGGUUUAAAAUAUGUGCCGUGAUUGGUCUUUCUCGGUUGGCUUCUGGAUGUUUCCAAGGGGAGGUUGGUGGACAAGCCAGAUGCGAGCCUCCCACGUUCCACCCUGGUGGGAGCGCUGACUCGAGAAAGCAGCAGCCUUUGGGGGGGGGGUGGGGACCUUAUAAUCCUCCACCAGUGAAGAUGCUGCUCGAGGCCUUUGUCUGCUCACCGAGCAGACACUGUGGGGGUCAGGCCUGUCCUUGACCCCAUCUCCCAGGCAGUCAAUUCAAUCUGGCCAGAAGCGUCCGCUUCCUUGAAGAAACCUUAGCUGUUCUGCAGGGCUCUCCUCGCCAUCCCGUGUACCCUCCGUGGAUCCCUCUAAAAGCCUCUGGGAGAAACGAAUAAGCACACCCCAUAAUUGGUGUUCUCUUGGUUAUUCCGUUCCUUCCGUCCUUCCUUCCUCCCUCCCUCCCUCCCUCCUCCCGCUUGCCUUUUCUUUCUUUCUUGCUUGCUUGCUUGCUUGCUUGCUUGCUUGCUUGCUUGCUUGCUUGCUUGCUUGCUUGCUUGCUUGCUUGCUUGCUUGCUUGCUU
ensembl:lncRNA